rnacentral:rRNA from 1 species
GUGAGGAAUAUUGGUCAAUGGGCGGGAGCCUGAACCAGCCAAGUCGCGUGAAGGAAGAAGGAUCUAUGGUUCGUAAACUUCUUUUGCAGGGGAAUAAAGUGCAGGACGUGUUCUGUUUUGUAUGUACCCUGAGAAUAAGGAUCGGCUAACUCCGUGCCAGCAGCCGCGGUAAUACGGAGGAUCCGAGCGUUAUCCGGAUUUAUUGGGUUUAAAGGGUGCGUAGGUGGUUUGAUAAGUCAGCGGUGAAAGUUUGCAGCUUAACUGUAAAAAUGCCGUUGAAACUGUCGGACUUGAGUGUAAAUGAGGUAGGCGGAAUGCGUGGUGUAGCGGUGAAAUGCAUAGAUAUCACGCAGAACUCCGAUUGCGAAGGCAGCUUACUAAGCUACAACUGACACUGAAGCACGAAAGCGUGGGGAUCAAACAGGAUUAGAUACCCUAGUAGUCC